rnacentral:rRNA from 1 species
CCUACGGGGGGCAGCAGUGGGGAAUAUUGGACAAUGGGGGGAACCCUGAUCCAGCCAUGCCGCGUGUGUGAAGAAGGCCCUCGGGUUGUAAAGCACUUUCAGUGAGGAAGAACGCCUGGUGGUUAAUACCCAUCAGGAAAGACAUCACUCACAGAAGAAGCACCGGCUAACUCCGUGCCAGCAGCCGCGGUAAUACGGAGGGUGCGAGCGUUAAUCGGAAUUACUGGGCGUAAAGCGCGCGUAGGUGGCUUGAUAAGCCGGUUGUGAAAGCCCCGGGUUCAACCUGGGAACGGCAUCCGGAACUGGCAAGCUAGAGUGCAGGAGAGGAAGGUAGAAUUCCCGGUGUAGCGGUGAAAUGCGUAGAGAUCGGGAGGAAUACCAGUGGCGAAGGCGGCCUUCUGGACUGACACUGACACUGAGGUGCGAAAGCGUGGGUAGCAAACAGGAUUAGAUACCCUAGUAGUC